AGGAAGCCGGCGCUGCCGCUGUAAAGGCUGCUCUAGGCGGCCGGGGCCGCCGUGCAGGAUGCGGCCUGCGUGGCGCUUGGCAGGCGGCUGCAGACGCCGUCGCCGUGGUGCGUGAGAACAUCGAGAGGGGCCGCGGUCACCAGCGGAUAUGGAUUGUCAAGGUUUUGAUUAAGUGCCUUCAUCUUGUAAAUGUAAAACAAAGAAGAAGAAUGUUGUAAAUUCCCCAGAAAAGGACCUCUCUGAUGCUGGUUGCCAAAGCCCCUAGCACAAAGGAAGUGGGAUAUGUGAUAACUAUUGCAAUACAAAGGAAUAAUGAGGACUGCUAUUACAGGUG